rnacentral:rRNA from 1 species
CCACCUCUUCCCAUUCCGAACAGAGAAGUUAAACCUUAUCACGCCGAUGGUACUGCGAAAGCGGGAGAGUAGGUAAUCGCCCCCU